CCCAGAUGAAGCACUAAGACAAUCGGGCUGCGAGGAUCCCGUCGAAUCACUCAAAUCAUAUCUAUAUCCAUGCUAGACUGGCGUCCCGUCGGACUACGCAGUCCUAAAUCGGUGGUGAUCUCGAAGGACACCCAUGUAGGUGGGGAAAAGACCGAAAAAAGCUAGGUGGCUCAAAAGGGCUUGGCGGCUCGACUGAAAAAGCAGGGAUCAGCUCGGCUUGAGUGCAGGUGUCGGCUCGGCUUGCGGUAGAAGGGGGACGCGGCUCGGCUGGAAGUCGGCUCGCAAAGAAGGGCGCUGGCGCAGCUUCAGGCUUCGAGCGGACGUGCGCGGGCGUGGCUGUGGGUCGGAGCGGGCGCACGGGCAUGGAGCAGCGGGCGGAGCAGAUCGGGGCGGAGCGACGCGGAGUGUUCGACUCGCUCGGAACGAGUGGCGGCGCGGCUUGACUGAUCUGUUCGAGCUGAUCUGCAGUGAACGCCCGACAGCGGUGUCUGGCGGAGGGCGACAGCGGUGACUGCCGGAGGGCGGCGGCGACAGCUUUCUAGAGUUUUUUUUUCUCUUUGGUGAAGAUGAUAGUGAUGGUGCAUUAAUUGCACAUCCCAAUGCCCCAUUUAAAUAAAAUAAAUCCUUUUAUUUUA